GAUGAACGCUGGCGGCGUGCCUAAUACAUGCAAGUCGAGCGAACAGAUGAGGAGCUUGCUCCUCUGACGUUAGCGGCGGACGGGUGAGUAACACGUGGAUAACCUACCUAUAAGACUGGGAUAACUUCGGGAAACCGGAGCUAAUACCGGAUAAUAUAUUGAACCGCAUGGUUCAAUAGUGAAAUACGGUUUUGCUGUCACUUAUAGAUGGAUCCGCGCCGCAUUAGCUAGUUGGUAAGGUAACGGCUUACCAAGGCAACGAUGCGUAGCCGACCUGAGAGGGUGAUCGGCCACACUGGAACGGAGACACGGUCCAGACUCCUACGGGAGGCAGCAGUAGGGAAUCUUCCGCAAUGGGCGAAAGCCUGACGGAGCAACGCCGCGUGAGUGAUGAAGGUCUUCGGAUCGUAAAACUCUGUUAUUAGGGAAGAACAAAUGUGUAAGUAACUAUGCACGUCUUGACGGUACCUAAUCAGAAAGCCACGGCUAACUACGUG
rnacentral:rRNA from 1 species